UUGGCGGACGGGUGAGUAACGCGUGGGUAACCUGCCUUGUACUGGGGGACAACAGUUGGAAACGACUGCUAAUACCGCAUAAGCGCACAGCUUCGCAUGAAGCAGUGUGAAAAACUCCGGUGGUACAAGGUGGACCCGCGUCUGAUUAGCUGGUUGGUGAGGUAACGGCCCACCAAGGCGACGAUCAGUAGCCGGCCUGAGAGGGUGAACGGCCACAUUAGGACUGAGACACGGCCCAA
rnacentral:rRNA from 1 species